rnacentral:rRNA from 1 species
CCUACGGGGGGCUGCAGUGGGGAAUAUUGGACAAUGGGCGAAAGCCUGAUCCAGCCAUGCCGCGUGUGUGAAGAAGGCCUUCGGGUUGUAAAGCACUUUCAGUGGGGAAGAAAGCCUUGGGACUAAUACCCUCGAGGAAGGACAUCACCCACAGAAGAAGCACCGGCUAACUCCGUGCCAGCAGCCGCGGUAAUACGGAGGGUGCGAGCGUUAAUCGGAAUUACUGGGCGUAAAGCGCGCGUAGGCGGUCUGAUAAGCCGGUUGUGAAAGCCCCGGGCUCAACCUGGGAACGGCAUCCGGAACUGUCAGGCUAGAGUGCAGGAGAGGAAGGUAGAAUUCCCGGUGUAGCGGUGAAAUGCGUAGAGAUCGGGAGGAAUACCAGUGGCGAAGGCGGCCUUCUGGACUGACACUGACGCUGAGGUGCGAAAGCGUGGGUAGCAAACAGGAUUAGAUACCCCUGUAGUC